rnacentral:lncRNA from 10 species
AUUGAAAUAGCAAUUUGUUUACCAAAAAGUGUGAUAUACAAUCAGCAGGAAUCAUAGCACUGAUACUCACAUUUUACAUCAUAAAUGUUUUAAAAAUGACAUUCUCAAAUAUUUUUAUUGUUGAAAAUCAGACAUGGCAAGAAUCUUAAUUAUGGCUAAUCUGGACAAGACAUUUAAAUGAUCAUGAAUUAUGAUGGGGCAAACGCUUCUAAUUCAUGCUAGCGAUGUCAGUAUUCCUCAGUCUCUUAAAAUAAGUUAUUUCAUGUGAUUAAUAGAUGAGAAAAGAAUAUUACAUUUUCUUUUUAUGCAUUAAGAGUUUGGGGCAAAGCCAGGCACGGUGACCCAUACCUAUAAUCCCAGCACUUUGGGAGGUCAAGGCAGGAGGAUCAUUUAAGGCUAGGAGUUUGAAACCAGCCUAGGCAAUAUGACAAAACCUUGUCUCUGCAAAAAUACAAAAAGUAGCCAGGCAUGGUGGUACAUACCUGUAAUCCCAGCUACUAGGGAGGC